GGUCAAGCUACAAAGGGCGCAUGGUGAAUGCCUUGGCAUCAGGAGCCGAUGAAGGACGUGAUAAGCUGCGAUAAGCUUCGGGUAGGCGCACAUAGCCUGAGAUCCGAAGAUCUCCGAAUGAGGAAACUCACAUGGGAAACCCCAUGUAUCAUUAAGUGAAUACAUAGCUUAAUGAAGGUAACCCAGGGAACUGAAACAUCUAAGUACCUGGAGGAAGAGAAAGAAAAAUCGAUUUUCUUAGUAGCGGCGAGCGAAAGGGAAAGAGCCCAAACCGGAAACUUGUUUCCGGGGUUGUGGACAUAACAUAAAAGUGGAGGCUAUUGUAACUGAAGAGAACUGGAAAGUUCCACCGUAGAAGGUAAUAGUCCUGUAAGUGAAACGAGAAGACCACGAGUUAUGAUCCAGAGUACCACGAGACACGUGAAACCUUGUGGGAAGCAGGGAGGACCACCUCCCAAGGCUAAAUACUACCUGAUGACCGAUAGUGAAGCAGUACCGUGAGGGAAAGGUGAAAAGAACCCCGGGAGGGGAGUGAAAUAGAACCUGAAACCGUGUGCCUACAACCGCUCAGAGCCCCUUAUGAGGGUGAUGAGGUGCUUUUUGUAGAACGAGCCAACGAGUUACGGUAUGUAGCAAGGUUAAGUACUUAAGGUACGGAGCCGAAGGGAAACCGAGUCUGAAUAGGGCGACUAGUUGCAUGCCGUAGACCCGAAACCGGGUGACCUAUCCAUGGCCAGGUUGAAGCGAGGGUAAAACCUCGUGGAGGACCGAACCACGUUGCUGUUGAAAAAGCAUGGGAUGAGCUGUGGAUAGCGGAGAAAUUCCAAUCGAACCCGGAGAUAGCUGGUUCUCUCCGAAAUAGCUUUAGGGCUAGCGUCGAGUAUGAGUAGUGGAGGUAGAGCACUGAAUGGGCUAGGGGGCAUAGCGCUUACCGAACCUUAUCAAACUCCGAAUGCCACAUACUUUGAGCUCGGCAGUCAGACUACGAAUGAUAAGAUCCGUGGUCAAAAGGGAAACAGCCCAGAUCGUCAGCUAAGGUCCCAAAGUGUAAGUUAAGUGGGAAAGGAUGUGAGAUUUCUAAGACAACUAGGAUGUUGGCUUAGAAGCAGCCAUUCAUUAAAAGAGUGCGUAAUAGCUCACUAGUCGAGAGAUCUUGCGCCGAAAAUGUAACGGGGCUAAACUUACCACCGAAGCUACGGGCUUGAACUUAGUUCAAGCGGUAGGAGAGCGUCGUAACCGGGCUGAAGUCGUACCGUAAGGAGCGGUGGACUGGUUACGAGUGAGAAUGUUGGCAUCAGUAGCGAGAUGUGGGUGAGAAUCCCACAGGCCGAAAACCUAAGGUUUCCUCAGGAAGGUUCGUCCGCUGAGGGUUAGUCGGGACCUAAGCCGAGGCCGAAAGGCGUAGGUGAUGGACAACUGGUUGAUAUUCCAGUACCACUACCAUCGUUAUUAUCGAUGGCGUGACGCAGGAGGAUAGUGUGUGCUAGCUAUUGGAUGCUAGUCUAAGCGUUUAGGCAGUGAGAGUAGGCAAAUCCGCUCUCAUAAUGCUGAGGCGUGAUGGGGAAGGUUCUACGGAACCGAAGUACAUGAUUCCACGCUGCCAAGAAAAGCGUCUAGAGAGAGAAGUAGUGCCCGUACCGCAAACCGACACAGGUAGGUGAGGAGAGAAUCCUAAGGCCGGCGGAAGAAUUACAGUUAAGGAACUCGGCAAAUUGACCCCGUAAGUUCGCGAGAAGGGGUGCCUACGAGAGUAGGCCGCAGAGAAUAGGCCCAAGCAACUGUUUAGCAAAAACACAGGUCUCUGCUAAAGCGUAAGCUGAUGUAUAGGGGCUGACGCCUGCCCGGUGCUGGAAGGUUAAGGGGAACACUUAGCGCAAGCGAAGGUGUGAACUUAAGCCCCAGUAAACGGCGGCCGUAACUAUAACGGUCCUAAGGUAGCGAAAUUCCUUGUCAGGUAAGUUCUGACCCGCACGAAUGGCGUAAUGACUUGGGCACUGUCUCAACUGUAAAUCCGGCGAAGUUGUAGUGCGAGUGAAGAUGCUCGCUACCCGCGAUUGGACGGAAAGACCCCGUAGAGCUUUACUGUAGCUUAGCAUUGAGUUUUGGUAUUGUCUGUACAGGAUAGGUGGGAGACUAGGAAACCAGGGCGUCAGCCUUGGUGGAGUCAACCUUGGGAUACCACCCUGACAGUACUGAAAUUCUAACUGGCGGCCAUGAAUCUGGUCACAGGACAUUGUUAGGUGGGCAGUUUGACUGGGGCGGUCGCCUCCUAAAAAGUAACGGAGGCGCCCAAAGGUUCCCUCAGAACGGUCGGAAAUCGUUCGAAGAGUGCAAAGGCAGAAGGGAGCCUGACUGCGACACCCACAAGUGGAGCAGGGACGAAAGUCGGGCUUAGUGAUCCGGUGGUACCUCGUGGGAGGGCCAUCGCUCAACGGAUAAAAGCUACCUCGGGGAUAACAGGCUGAUCUCCCCCAAGAGUCCACAUCGACGGGGAGGUUUGGCACCUCGAUGUCGGCUCGUCGCAUCCUGGGGCUGAAGUAGGUCCCAAGGGUUGGGCUGUUCGCCCAUUAAAGCGGCACGCGAGCUGGGUUCAGAACGUCGUGAGACAGUUCGGUCCCUAUCCGUCGCGGGCGUAGGAAAUUUGAGAGGAGCUGUCCUUAGUACGAGAGGACCGGGAUGGACUGACCUCUGGUGUACCAGUUGUUCCGCCAGGAGCACAGCUGGGUAGCUAAGUCGGGAAUGGAUAAACGCUGAAAGCAUCUAAGCGUGAAGCCAACCUCAAGAUGAGAUUUCCCAUAGCAUAAGCUAGUAAGAUCCCUUGAAGAACACAAGGUUGAUAGGUCGGGGGUGUAAGCAUGGUAACAUGUUCAGCUGACCGAUACUAAUAGAUCGAGGGCUUGACCAA
rnacentral:rRNA from 1 species